UUUAACAGUUGUUUAUUAAAAUCUAUAAUAAAAAACUAAUACAACACAAAAAUAUUGUUUCCAAAAAUUGUGCUAUUUUAUGUGCGCAAUAAAAUGGUAAAGGCACUCAAAUUUGAUAUUUUACAAUUAUAAUAUAAAAUACUGUUUACAUUUUACAUACAAUACUUAUUGCACUCGAUGAAUUUAAGUAACACAGAACUUAACCUAAUCUAAUCGUAAAAUAUUUAAACUUAACACAUAUCGCAGGUCUUUCCUAAAAGUAUCUGAUUUUUUGUAAGUUAAUAAAUGUAUGUAGAGGUGAACUUUAAAAAAAGAAGACAAGAAGUCUUUAAAACUUAACGGUAAUUUCUUAAAUACAACUAUCACAUCCUCGUUACUCUAAAUGUGUAUCCUGGUUAAUACAAUAAUUGUACUUUUUAAGAUUUUGUUACCGAUGUCAUAUGUACAGUACGUAAAUCGUUCAGCUGGACAUAGGGAACAUACAUUGUACAUAUUUAGAUUCAUAAAUACAUACAUUGUAUUAUAUUGAGAUAAUUGUGGCAACUGAGCUCUCUCGAUGACAAUAUGGUUGUUAGCAUUAAGGGGCAUUAACCUCAAAAUUUACAACUCUGACAUAAAUAAACGUCCAAAUAUUACAAUGUAGUAGCUAAAUAUUUUUGGUCUAGGGAAUGGGAAAACUGUUUAGUUUUGAAAUUAGUUUUUAAAAAUAAAUAUUUCAAAAAUUAAAGUAAAGUUAUUAACUCAUUAAUAAGAAACUUUGUUUUCGAUUUAUUUAUGGACAGCCUUGCUUCAAAAUUCACUCAUUCUAUUCGUUCUAACAGCUCUAUUGCACCAAAAACUCGUACUCGAACAGAAGCUUCAACUAACACAGGUUACGGCAGUUGCCACAAUUCUCUCAAUGUAUAAUCCCUAUGUCCAGCCGAACGAUUUAUGUACUGUAUAAGGCAUUUAUUGAUUGUUGUUUAUUUAUGAGCUUUCAGUUUUUGUAAUAUUUAAUGAGAUCCAGAUAUUAUAUCAGCAGAGAUGCUCAAAGACACAGAAGAAAUCGGAAUAAAAUUGCUUCACAUGCUCUGUAAAAAAAUAUGACAUUCCAAGUAAUGGCCUGACGACUGGACAAAAUCAACAAUAACGACAAUACAAAUUGUAAAAAA
rnacentral:lncRNA from 1 species